AGAGUUUGAUCCUGGCUCAGGACGAACGCUGGCGGCGCGCCUAACACAUGCAAGUCGAACGGAAUCAAGAGGAGCUUGCUUUUCUUGAUUUAGUGGCGAACGGGUGAGUAACGCGUGAGUAACCUGCCCUGGAGUGGGGGACAACAGUUGGAAACGACUGCUAAUACCGCAUAAGCCCACGGUACCGCAUGGUACUGAGGGAAAAGGAUUUAUUCGCUUUAGGAUGGACUCGCGUCCAAUUAGCUAGUUGGUGAGGUAACGGCCCACCAAGGCGACGAUUGGUAGCCGGACUGAGAGGUUGAACGGCCACAUUGGGACUGAGACACGGCCCAGACUCCUACGGGAGGCAGCAGUGGGGGAUAUUGCACAAUGGGGGAAACCCUGAUGCAGCGACGCCGCGUGGAGGAAGAAGGUUUUCGGAUUGUAAACUCCUGUCGUUAGGGACGAUAAUGACGGUACCUAACAAGAAAGCACCGGCUAACUACGUGCCAGCAGCCGCGGUAAAACGUAGGGUGCAAGCGUUGUCCGGAAUUACUGGGUGUAAAGGGAGCGCAGGCGGACCGGCAAGUUGGAAGUGAAAUCCAUGGGCUCAACCCGUGAAUUGCUUUCAAAACUGCUGGCCUUGAGUAGUGCAGAGGUAGGUGGAAUUCCCGGUGUAGCGGUGGAAUGCGUAGAUAUCGGGAGGAACACCAGUGGCGAAGGCGACCUACUGGGCACCAACUGACGCUGAGGCUCGAAAGCAUGGGUAGCAAACAGGAUUAGAUACCCUGGUAGUCCAUGCCGUAAACGAUGAUUACUAGGUGUUGGAGGAUUGACCCCUUCAGUGCCGCAGUUAACACAAUAAGUAAUCCACCUGGGGAGUACGACCGCAAGGUUGAAACUCAAAGGAAUUGACGGGGGCCCGCACAAGCAGUGGAGUAUGUGGUUUAAUUCGA
rnacentral:rRNA from 1 species